rnacentral:rRNA from 1 species
GAUGAACGCUGGCGGCGCGCCUAACACAUGCAAGUCGAACGAUUAAAGCACCUUCGGGUGUGUAUAAAGUGGCGAACGGCUGAGUAACACGUGGGCAACCUGCCCCUUUCAUUGGGAUAGCCACGGGAAACCGUGGAUAAUACCGAAUACUUCGAGACUUCCGCAUGGAAGACUCGAGAAAGCUCCGGCGGAGAGGGAUGGGCCCGCGGCCUGUUAGCUUGUUGGUGGGGUAACGGCCUACCAAGGCAAUGAUGGGUAGCUGGGUUGAGAGACCGACCAGCCAGCUUGGGACUGAGACACGGCCCAGACUCCUACGGGAGGCAGCAGUGGGGAAUCUUGCACAAUGGGCGAAAGCCUGAUGCAGCGACGCCGCGUGCGGGAUGAAGGCCUUCGGGUUGUAAACCGCUUUCAGCAGGGACGAGGCGAAAGUGACGGUACCUGCAGAAGAAGCCCCGGCUAACUACGUG